rnacentral:lncRNA from 1 species
CCGAGAUCUGGGACUGCAGCUUCCAGAUCUCCUCUUCACACAGCUCUCUGGGGAAGUUGAUCUUGUCAGUCAGCCCUUCCAGUCUUCCAGCAGCCCCUGCGUGUUGCCAAGAUCUGCCUCCACCUUCAGCUUCUCCUGGCCCAGUGUCCAGCUGCUGCCCAAGGCUGUGGAUGUGGCUCUCAAACACGCUGUCCAUGUUGCUCCCAGCUGUCUUCUGCUGCUGCAGGAUGCUCCACUUAGUCUCCAGCAUUUGUUCUGCUGCUCCAGGAACUGCACCUUGUCGAUGAAGGAGGCAAACUUGUUGAGGGUCUUGAUCUGCUCCUUCUCCUGGGUAUGCACAGCCUGGAUAUUGGGGUCCAGGUCCAGCUUAAGGGGGCUCAGCAGACUCUGGUUCACCAUGAUGGCUGUGUCGCCCACCCCCACCCCAUACCACUGCCC